CCGAGAUAGAGUCCUUCACAGGAUUCGACCCUCCCACCCUUUGUGUAUAUACCUCUGUUGCUUUGGCGGUACCCCGCGGUACACGGCGUUGCUUAAAUAUGUCGAGUCCCCGGCCCGCCAGUGGCCCUAUUCUAUUCUGUUAUAUUAGUGAUGUCUGAGCAUGCAAAAAUAAUCAAAACUUUCAACAACGGAUCUCUUGGUUCUGGCAUCGAUGAAGAACGCAGCGAAAUGCGAUAAGUAAUGUGAAUUGCAGAAUUCAGUGAAUCAUCGAAUCUUUGAACGCACAUUGCGCCCUCUGGUAUUCCGGGGGGCAUGCCUGUUCGAGCGUCAUUACACCUCUCAAGCUCAGCUUGGUAUUGGGCCCUUUCGUCCCCUGUGGGCGGGCUUGAAAAUCAGUGGCGGUGCAGCCGGUACUCAAGCGUAAUAGUUAUCAUAUCCCGCUUUGGAGUUUACCGGGUGGACCCGCCAGACAACCCCUCUAAUAUUUCAAUGG
rnacentral:rRNA from 1 species